UACAGAGGUCUCGAGCGUUAGGCGGAAUCACUGGGCUUAAAGCGUGUGUAGGCGGGUCGUUAAGUGCCUUGUGAAAUCCCAUGGCUCAACCAUGGAACUGCUGGGCAUACUGGCGAUCUUGUGCCACCUAGGGGCGAGCGGAACAGAUGGUGGAGCGGUGAAAUGCGUAGAUAUCAUCUGGAACGCCAAUGGUGAAAACAGCUCGCUGGGGGUGUGCAGACGCUGAGACACGAAAGCCAGAGGAGCGAACGGG
rnacentral:rRNA from 1 species